GCGGAAGGAGCGCCAGCCAGGUGAGCCCGGCCCGUGCACUUGCUAGUGAGUCCCCGCCUCUAACCUAAGGCAGCGCUCCGGGAAGUGAUCUCGGUGCUCAAGGCGGCAAAGUUCCUGUAACAGGAUAAGACCGUAAAGAAUGCGUUGAAAGAUGCCAUUGUUCUCGUUGGAAAAAACCUGGGUGGUCACAUGUCUAAGGAUCUUGGGCGGUGAGGAGACACCUUUCUUCAGGAAACCAUUUGUAGAAGUGAUUCCUAUCAGUGAUUCAACUCUGGGGUCAUGCAUUCACUUGGAAUGGAUGAGAAGAAAAAGGUGCCUCUUCUGGACGCGGGACGAGUGCCUUGCACACCUCACGGUCCCCUAGAGGGCGGCCCAGUCCCGCAGGCCAUCUGGAGUUGUUUUUCUGUAAUGCCGAUGUAAUGGUAUGGUCUGGAUCACGUGUUGGAUCCCAGAUAGAAGCGCUUGUUGAAGAUGACUGACCAACAAUAGAGAAUGACUCCUUGAGACCGUGGAGGCAUCAUAUCAACCUUGGAUUGUGAACAUCAUGUCAACCUUGUAGAAAAAUAAACCGUCAUCUUGUCUAGGCCUGCA
rnacentral:lncRNA from 1 species